UACGUAGGGUGCGAGCGUUAAUCGGAAUUACUGGGCGUAAAGCGAGCGCAGGCGGUUCUGUAAGUCAGAUGUGAAAUCCCCGGGCUCAACCUGGGAACUGCGUUUGAAACUACAGGGCUAGAGUAUGGGAGAGGGGGGUAGAAUUCCACGUGUAGCAGUGAAAUGCGUAGAGAUGUGGAGGAAUACCAAUGGCGAAGGCAGCCCCCUGGCCUAAUACUGACGCUCAUGCUCGAAAGCGUGGGGAGCAAAC
rnacentral:rRNA from 1 species